rnacentral:rRNA from 1 species
UGGGGAAUAUUGCACAAUGGGCGCAAGCCUGAUGCAGCCAUGCCGCGUGUGUGAAGAAGGCCUUCGGGUUGUAAAGCACUUUCAGCGGGGAGGAAGGCGUUAAGGUUAAUAACCUUGGCGAUUGACGUUACCCGCAGAAGCAGCACCGGCUAACUCCGUGCCAGCAGCCGCGGUAAUACGGAGGGUGCAAGCGUUAAUCGGAAUUACUGGGCGUAAAGCGCACGCAGGCGGUCUGUCAAGUCGGAUGUGAAAUCCCCGGGCUCAACCUGGGAACUGCAUUCUAAACUGGCAGGCUAGAGUCUUGUAGAGGCGGGUAGAAUUCCAGGUGUAGCGGUGAAAUGCGUAGAGAUCUGGAGGAAUACCGGUGGCGAAGGCGGCCCCCUGUACAAAGACUGACGCUCAGGUGCGAAAGCGUGGGGAGCAAACAGG